ACUGCUCAGUAACACGUGGAUAACCUGCCCUUGGGUCCGGCAUAACCCCGGGAAACUGGGGAUAAUUCCGGAUAACGCACAUAUGCUGGAAUGCUUUUUGCGUAAAAUGGAUUCGUCUGCCCAAGGAUGGGUCUGCGGCCUAUCAGGUAGUAGUGGGUGUAAUGUACCUACUAGCCUACGACGGGUACGGGUUGUGAGAGCAAGAGCCCGGAGAUGGAUUCUGAGACAUGAAUCCAGGCCCUACGGGGCGCAGCAGGCGCGAAAACUUUACAAUGCGGGAAACCGUGAUAAGGGGACACCGAGUGCCAGCAUCCUAUGCUGGCUGUCCAGGUGUGCAAAAUACACCUGUUAGCAAGGGCCGGGCAAGACCGGUGCCAGCCGCCGCGGUAACACCGGCGGCCCGAGUGGUGAUCGUGAUUAUUGGGUCUAAAGGGUCCGUAGCCGGUUUGGUCAGUCCUCCGGGAAAUCUGACAGCUCAACUGUUAGGCUUUCGGAGGAUACUGCCAGACUUGGAACCGGGAGAGGUAAGAGGUACUACAGGGGUAGGAGUGAAAUCUUGUAAUCCCUGUGGGACCACCUGUGGCGAAGGCGUCUUACCAGAACGGGUUCGACGGUGAGGGACGAAAGCUGGGGGCACGAACCGGAUUAGAUACCCGGGUAGUCCCAGCCGUAAACGAUGCUCGCUAGGUGUCAGGCAUGGCGCGACCGUGUCUGGUGCCGCAGGGAAGCCGUGAAGCGAGCCACCUGGGAAGUACGGCCGCAAGGCUGAAACUUAAAGGAAUUGGCGGGGGAGCA
rnacentral:rRNA from 1 species